rnacentral:rRNA from 1 species
UACGGGGGGAGCAAGCGUUGUUCGGAUUUACUGGGCGUAAAGAGCGUGUAGGCGGCCACACAGGUCUGCUGUGAAAACUCGAGGCUCAACCUCGAGCUGUCGGUGGAAACCGUGUGGCUAGAGUCCGGAAGAGGAGAGUGGAAUUCCCGGUGUAGCGGUGAAAUGCGCAGAUAUCGGGAAGAACACCCGUGGCGAAGGCGGCUCUCUGGGACGGUACUGACGCUGAGACGCGAAAGCGUGGGGAGCGAACAGG